GACAAUGUGACUAUUGAGCACGAGGCCUUCGAUGGCAUGAGCGGUAAGCUGGCUGUCAGCAUUGCUAGCCCAAAGUGUGCAGAGUUGCCCUGUGCUUCUCUACUUUUGCCGUCUUUUGAAUUCCAGUACCUUGACAACUAUUCUGCUGUCUUGUUAUGAUAUGGCUUAAAGCAAGAGCUUUGACCCUAUGACGACAUUCUGGAUCAGGUGGUCUGAUCCUUCCUUGCUCCCGAUUGCCAAAUGCAUAACCACAGCAACUUUCAGACUGGCCAUCUUGUGUGCGUUCCUGGAUGGCAUUCUUCAUGGCGACUAUGAUCCCUGCGUGGAUGAUCCAUGCCGUUUGACAAGUGCCAAAGCCAUCGCUAGCAGACAACAUAACAUUGUCAUGUUCGAUGUUCACAUUUCCUCACCAUGGGUCCCUUCAACAGUAGCGGUCACAGUUAAGGAGGUCAAGCAAGCGACGACAUAGAAGGAUGCACAACCUGCUGGGAAUGACAAAGGAGUUUUGAGGGCACAACCAUGACCCUACAGACCUUCGGGGGUAAGUCCGCGAAUGUGUAUGUACCAGACUGCACGACAGUGGGGCUGCACGCGUUACCUAUGUUAUCUUGGUGCUUGCAGUGAAGGUAUCAAAUGACAUCCUGGCUGCUUACAAGGUCUCCACCAUCAACCCCAUGGGCAACGG
rnacentral:lncRNA from 1 species